rnacentral:rRNA from 1 species
CUUUACUAUAGCUUAGUAUUGGUUUUGGAUAAGUAAUGUGUAGGAUAGGUGGGAGACUUCGACCCUGCGUCGCCAGGCGUGGGUGAGUCAUUGUUGAAAUACCACCCUUUGCUUAUCUAGAGUCUAACCUCUGAUCAGGGACAGUGCUUGGUGGGUAGUUUGACUGGGGUGGUCGCCUCCAAAAGAGUAACGGAGGCUUCUAAAGGUUCCCUCAGCACG